AAGGAACAUGGUGACAUUUCGACAUCUGCUCUGCCAAGCGGUAAAGGAAGCACGGUGACAUUUACCCAUUCAUCAACUGGCUUCAUUUGUGUAACAACCAUAGGGAGUAAUGCUACAGCAAAGUGUCUUCCUGUCUGCAGAGGGUAAGAGGCCUGGUCCCCUCUAAAAAGCGAUGCAGCAGAGCAUGAGCGCACAAGGUCAGUCUCUCUCCUGUGGUUUCUUCUGCAAUGGUAUAGCCUGACUUCCUGUGAAAGAUUACCAUCAAGCCUCUCGUAUUCUCACUGAUGCUUAUCUUUUGAGCCACAAAUGCCAACUCCCUGAACAUCUCUACACCUUGGCCCCCAGUGACAGCUCCACUGGCCUGUCAAUCUGGCAGUCCAUCCUGUGUCCUCAACCCCCCCUCUCAUCCUCAUCCCAGCAGCCAAAAAAUGAGCCUCCUCUAUCAUGGACCUGUCAUCAAGAAAUAAGAUCCAGAGUCCCAGUCUGGGGUGUGAUGAACACAGAGGCUGAAUAUGGGAGAGAUUUGUUUACAGAUGUUGAAUUCCUAGCUCCACAGGAAGGAUGCAUGUGAGUGCGCUGAUAAACCACAUCACGUAAAGAAGCAUCAUUGAACAGCUGCAGAAGUAGUCUGUAUCAGGAGGCCCUCCUCUACACAGAAGAACCACAAAGUGACAGUAACUGUGGGCUGACAUUUCCUGCAAAGAAAUUACCUAACAUUCACAAAUGGAUUGGUUUAAACAUAUUUCCCAAUCGAUAUUUACAUUUGAUUUGUUGUUCUAACCAAUCAAAAGAUUUAUUUUGCUUUUUUAUGUCUCAAAAGCUGAAAGAAUAAAAACGAAAACAGACAAGACUCAGUGUGUAAAGCCGUCUUAGCAGAACUGUGAGGCUUAGGCAGUGCUGCACUUUGUAAUGACAACUCACUGAAGCCCUGCUGUAUAAAAACCCCCCACAAAAAAUAAGUUCAAGCAUUUAACAAAAACGAAGUUAAAAAUGCCAAAGCAGUGUGAAAACCUAAAUAUACCUAAACAUGAUCUAAUAGAAUAUAGAACUCUAUUUACCAGAAUAACUUAAGUUAAGUAUGAAGCAUGACAUUUUGUGUGCGACCUUAUCAGUCUCCUCCAUCGUUGUGGAGGAGUUUUGGGGCAUCCUUCUUUUUCAGCAUUCAGUUCAGUUCACUGAGGUUUGUGGGCAUUUAUUUUAGCACAGAUCUCUUAGUCACACCACAGCUGAGGUCAGGACGUUGAUUUUGCCUUUUUGCAAGACCUUGAUUCUUUUCUUCUUUAGCCCUUUGGCUGUAGAUUUGAUGCUGUGCUUGGAUUCAUUUUGCACAGACCUAAGCUGUGCUGCCAUGUUCUGAGAAGAGCAUUUCUCCUGGCAACACUUCCUGUCUUGAAAAUUGAAGAUAUAUCUGCAGUCCCCAGGUAGCUACUGAAAUGACAAAUGAGGCCUGUAGAUGUAGCUCUUGGGGGUUUUGCAGUUUCUCUAAGCAUUUCGCCAUCUGACCUUUGGUGAAUUUGCAUCCACUACUAGGAGACUGGCAAGUUUCUUGAAUGUUUUUGACUUUCUCACUGUAGAAUGAUGAAUGUCAAAUUGUUUGGAACGCCUUCACCAACCUUCCCAGAUUAAUGGACAGCAAGAAUUGCUGUUUUUUCUCCUUUGCAUUGUGUUAACACCUGAAUGUUCCAGACCUGUACAGCACCAGUACUUCUGCUUUUAUAUAAGUGGUCACUUUUCAGACAAUUAAUCAAAUACAGGAGCACCUGGCUGCUAAUUACCCUCUUAAUAGAUGCGUAUCUGUUGUUUGUUUUAAACAAGUGUUGACAACAGAUGUUUCUAAAUUAGCUUUUGCUUCAUCUUUAUUCCAUUAAUUUUCACCAUUUUACAGCUAAUGCAUGUAUGGAAGUUUAUAUGUGUGAUGAAUGUAAGACCAUUUGCUUGACUGUGUCUGUGUGCUGGAACUGGAACUAACUAUAAUUAUAUGUGUGUAUGAGUUUUAAAAAGUGCUAUACAAAUUUAAUGAUGAUUAUUAUUAGUAUUGCAUUUUGACUUGCUAUUUGUGAUCUGUUUCAGGACCUCUUUUUUAAUAUGUUCAGUUCCUUUAGGUAUUUCCUAAUAAACUAAUAGUGAGAUAGAAAUGAAGUGUUAAUUUCAGUCUUGAUUCUCACCUAUUCCACAUAUGACUGCAUGCUUUUAGAACAGUCAUUUUUCAAAGUUUCAAAAGUUGUC